rnacentral:lncRNA from 1 species
UCCUUGCACUUCCUCCCCAGCAGCUGGGGAAGUGGCAGGCUCCGAAUAGCCCCAGUUACAAAAAAGAUGCAGAAUAAAUAUUAUUUUUCUGCAGGUUUUCAGGGCUUAACUCUCCAGAUAAGCUUUGAGCAGCGGGGAGGAAGGUGUUUCCUUGGCCAAGCAGGAAUACCCUGGCAGUUUUAGCUAGAAGGCAAAAUGUGGUCUGGAAAGGGCAAUUCUGAGCUGAAGUAGCAGGAAAUGAUGCAGUGUUAAAAUGAUAUUUCUGUGAUACCAGAAGCCCAAGAAUAAAGAAGAGAUGAACUGGGAAAAAAUAAAAACAAACAAAUGACAAAAAAAAAAACAACAACCAAGCAAGAAAUCCUCCAACCCAUUUUUAAGUGGUUGCGAUGAAAACAAGCUUUUAUUUUUAUGGUUUUAUGAGUGUUCAUUAAAAAAAAAAAAAAGAUGUAAAUGAUUCUCCCACUUUUCGUGCAGUAUUUCAAGGUGAUGCAUAUGCUUUGUUCAUGACUUCUCUCCGUGCAGGUGCUUCUCAUCCCAGGAGGGGAAGCAGCUCGCUUGGGGCCAGCGCUCGAGUCCCUCCUGGGGUCACCAGUUCCGAGCCCCCGCCCCAAUUCAGGCAGGGGAUUUUCCCAGCAUGGGGGGUGAACGCAAACCCCGGUGCCCCUUCCAGAAUGGGUUCAGCAGGUGCAAGGCACGGGCAGCACUGCUCGGGGCCCGGGGCUCGGGUCACCCCUCGGGGCAGGGACAGGCAGCGAGCGGCGGGGCGAGCAAACAAGUGCCCCGCGAAUAAUGGACUGGACGGAGCAAUGCCGAUCCAGCCCCUCUCUGGGUCUCCACCUAAGAAAGGAGAAGGAUUUGUGCGAUGUAACCGUGCCUCCUGCACCUCGCCAGCCCUGCCCUGCGGCACGGAGCUGUGCUUGGGAUGCUCCUGGGCUGGGAGAAGAGCUGGGGGCAGCGGAGGGCCGGGGCAGCAGCUCUGGGGCCGGAAAAUGGGAGAGCACAGAGGAUUUGGGAGGACAUCUCACUGUCAUUUUCCUGUGUUGCUGGGAUCUAAGACCAGACUCAUCAGCAAGCAAAAGACUGAUUCUGAGACCUCUGCUUCAGUUGCUUGGAUCCAUGGCCACAAUUAGAGAACUAGCCAUCGGCUGGAUUUUUCAGAGGUUUAAAAUAAUAAAGCACUUCUCAAUUUUCA